AGAAAUAAAAAAGAUAUAUUUAUUUUGUGUAACAGUAGUAGGGUAUUUUAUCCAAUAGUGGACCCUUAACCUAUAGUGGACCCCUAGCAAUUAUUCUCAAAUUUCCUACUAAAAUCUGCUUCUACCGGUAAACUUCCACCGGGGGACCAUGGCUCAUGUUCCUAGACAGCAGUUCCAUGUGUGGACCCCGCGGGGGAUAAUUUGAUCGAGAUUCCAAAUAAUUAUUUAAUGAGAAAUAUGAGGUGUUUUCGUUUUGUUUUUGUGUGCAAUGUGUAGGAAAGAUAUAGAACUUCAUGUGCAACCAUUGGUAAGGACAAUUCAAUUAGGAUAUCAUAAUGCUUUUACGAUCACAACUAAUUUCAGCUACUAAGGGGUCCACUAUUGGUUAACAUAUCCUAUGUAUGGAUGAGGGUCAGAAAUAAAACCAGAGAAAGGCCUCUGCCAUGGAGGUGACUGUACAGAAACUUGAUUUCAUCAUGGACGUUGCAUCCUCGAAGGUAAAUAUCAGCAAGGAUCUCGAACAUCGAUAAUGGCGGCCAAGCAGAACCAUGAUAAAACCGUUCAAACUGCGACAGCAGCAGAGCCCAUAAAGCUGAAAGUGCCUAACUCUACCCAAACUGAUGCCAUAGCUAGCCCAAAGAAUACGCCAGACGCGAUCGCUAGGAAGAGAAGGCCUGAUGACGAUCUUACAUAGGUCCUCAGCCAUCACAGAUUAGCGCGGGUCAGGGGGAGGACGCCUUCUAAACUGUAGUGGAUCGAUGGGAGAAGAAGAAGAAGAACAGGAGCUUGGGGAUGCUAAGCCAAAGAGAAGUAGGAGGCUAGGCUAGGAAGACUAGAGCGACACCCUCGUCCUCAAUACAAGCGAGUCUAAGUAAGUAAAAAGAAAAUCGUGUUAAGUACUGUUCCUUUUAAUUCCACUAAGAAUUUGCAUCCUUCGACAGGUACGUAUUUCGACCUCAACUGUAGGGUCGUCUUCAGUGUCAUGUACUUGACUCGACGACAUCCAAGUCAAGUACAUGACACUGAGGACGACCUUACAGUAGAGGUCGAAAUACGUAUCUGUCAAAGGAUGCAAAUUCUUAGUGGAAUUAAAAGGAAAAGUAGGGUAAAUCGGGGUAAUUUGGCCACCCUAAGGAAAAGUCUACAAAAGAUCCAGAAAGCAAGGUUUAAACUUCCGCACAUUGUAUGACCAUAAUGAUUUUGAUAAUACUUAACUAUAUUGAUGUGAAAAUUUUAGUGAAAUUGUGUUUACAUAUGAAAGAAAGAUUUUUGGAAAAAGCUGUGUUUUUGGGUCGAUUUUGAACCGACGGAGUAAUAUGAGCACCCGAUUUUUGAUAAAAAAUUCAUCCUACAUAAUGAAAUACAAUCAUGAUAUGCGUCAUUGUGCAUCAAAUCCUAUAGUAUCAACUUGAAAUAUAUAGAAAAUAAAUAAGUUUAAAAGCUAUCUAAGGUAUUUAAACAAGAUGAGUCUUACAUGGUGUUUUUGGUCUGCGCUCGUCGGGGUAAUUUGGCCAAUGUUUUUGAAAAUUAUUUUUCUAGUUUAAUGUGAUCUUCCAGUACAUCGUUUUAACGUCUCAAUCGCUUCAAUAUCAAGCCGGUGUUAGAUCUGCAAGAUGAAUUUGCAGAAAUUACUAGAUUUUAUGUGUUUUUCAUGAGGUGCUCAUAUUGCCCCAUUGGCCAAAUUACCCCGACUACCCCUACUUAACACGAUUUUCUUUUUUCUUACAGAUAUUCCACUAACAAGCCCAGAUUCAUCAGCAUCAAAGAGUACCCAGAGGUCUUGAAGGCGAUGAGUAGGGACAAUGGAAAUUCGCGGCAAAAUGAAUUUCGCGGUCCCAUAUGUUUGACUGUUUUGUUAAAAAAAACCCCUAAUUUGCAUGCCAUGUGAGUAUGCAUUUGCGAGGCGUAAUAAUAAAUUCAUCACAAAAAGAAACAAACUUGAAAAAAGUAUAUAUUUUAAAUACAAUAAACUCGUAAAUAACGUUACACUGUCAACAGUUUUCAAACAAUUUAUGCUAAAAUAUUUGUAAUUGAUAAAAAUUGGUAGGAUAUUUUAACAAUUUUACCAAAUUUCGCGGACUUUCUCAAAUUUCACGGCCAUUCCAAAAUUUCGCGGAUUUUGCGGCUUCUCUAGUGAUGAGGAACUAUGCCAAGCUCACGGGUCUUGGAGUCGACGUACGCAGUAUUUGGCAUACUCAUACUGGCGGAAUGAUCCUCGAGCUCAAGCACGACAAAACCUGUAAAGGCGACGCCUACAAGUGUUUGGUACAAGACGUCCUUGGAGAGGUUGCCGAGGUAAGGGCUCUCGCCGCAAAACCGACUUUAAAGGUCAAAAACCUGUACGAGAUCACGGAUGCGGAAGAGCUCGUCACAGCACUGCGGCAGGUAACCACCGCAGUCAUUCGGCUACGGAAAGGUCCAACAGGGCCACAGGUGCCCUUGAUUCAGUUACCGGUGGCGGAUGUCAAUAACCCUACGUCUCCACAAGACAGAAAUGUCUUGCCAUUUUGCUGCCAGAAAGAGAAAACGUAACAGAAAUGAUCAACACCGCUGCUUUCCAUGCAAACAGCGAGAGAACAUUUCUGUCAUGACACAUCUGUCCAGCAAAAUGGCAAGACAUUUCUGUCUAGUGGAGACGUCGGGUAAAUCCGUCUGACAGCAGCAUGCUAUAUACAAUCAGCCAAAUAACCUUAAGAUUUCCAUAAGGCCCAACUUAUGAAACGGCCUUUAAAUAAUUCAUAAUGAUUCGAAUGAAUUUCAUAAGGUCACUAUAUGACGUAAAAUCGUCUCACAGCUUGGCUUUUAUUCAUGUUUAGCAACAUGACAUUUUCAAGCGUCGGUAGCCGUGUGGAUAAAACGCGGGCUCGGUGAUCCCGACGUUCAUGGAUCGAAUCCAGUCUGCAUCAUUUUGAGAUUUUUUUGUUCUUUUCAUAAGUCUAUCUUAUGAGAUUAGUCAUAGCAAGCACGAUCAAUUUCCAUAAGGUAUUCUUAUGAUAUCCAUAAGAAUUAAUUAUAGCAAAUUUUCAUAAGGUAUUUCGAUGAAUUUCGCUAGCUUUUUUCGCUGAGUGUAGACGAUGUGGAGAUGAAGACACAAGGCUGCACGAUCCCUUGCAAGUGUUUGAUUGGUUCCAGGAAAUCCGCGAACGACAAACACUCGACGGGAAGCCCAAAGUGCCCGGCCUACUUAGAAAGAGUGUCAGCUGACAAGUUAUAGUGUAGGCAACGCAGCUAAACCUGAACCACUAUGACGCAGCCUAACAACUGUUAUAUCAGGUAGUUACUGAGUUAAGGCCGGAUAUCGCCAUCAUAGCCGAUUCAUACCGAGUAAUUUUGUAGUCCUAGCCUAAUAAGUAGUUUGAACUGGACGUUCAUAGCGAGCACCUGACGGUACAAUAUCGACUGCAAUAACAGCAGGCAGCAAACGGGACGAGUCGACUAGGCCAAGACCAUGCCCCCGCAGAUGGAAGAUAUCACACUUCAAUGAUGAAGUAUUUGGGAACGAGGAGGCUUUCUGCCCUGAGCGAAAGUUACUCGGUCUAAGCGAUGACUUGUUGGUAGCGGUACUCUCGCGUGCAUGCGACGCCACCAUUCCUAGGCAAGUCCACCCUAAGAAUGGAACCGCACUGGUGGACUGAAGCUACUGCGAACCUUCGCCGCGCCUGUCUUUAGAGCGGAUCAGGGAUUGGCGGCAUGCACCGUGCGGUGCAAAAAAAGCAUGUGCUUCGCACAAUCUCAAGUGCUUGUCUCCCGUUUUGCCGAGAGACAAGAGACGUAUGAGUGAGAGCUUUCGUAAUUGUACGAGAGACAAUCGCAGCACUAGCUCUACGGCGCAGGGAGUAAUGCGCGGUGCUUGGGACUGUGCUUGUCUCCAAACAGAAAAAAAUCAAAUAAUAAAUUAAUUGAAGAGUUUGUGUUUUCGGCAAAGUUUUAAGCUUGUCAAGGGCUGACAAGUAAUGGGUCGUUUGAUUCGAAAUUUUUCCAAUCAUGCGUAGUAUCAAGCCAAGUGCUAAGCACGGAGACAAGCACCGAGAGAGUGCAUACGACAGAGCGUGAGAGACAGGAGAGCUCCAGCGCGCGGCAAAGUAAGCGAGCAACACACAACCGAUUGCGCAUACUCGUCUCCUUCUAGUUUGUUGUGCUGUCUCGUAGCAGAGUGUGCGGCACGCAAAGAGUUUUGAGUCGCACCCUAUCCCUGGAGCGGAUGUAGCGAUCACGUACUGAUGAGGAGCGGGAUGAACGACAGAUUACGUUCGCGGAUGCAAAAGUCGCGCUUAAAACCGAGAGGACAAGCAAAAAGGCCAGCUAGUAUGAGGGAGUCUACCAGAGUGCCGUUGGGAACCCGUGGGGUGAUGCCCACAAGGUUGUGAUGGCCACUGAGAUGUCUCCAGUCAUGCUGGAUAGGAUUAUCGAGGGGCUCUCCCCGCGUUAUGAUUCAAGUCCUUGUCCUCAUUUCAUAGGACUGCUGAGGUUUAGAGCUGUCGAUCAGGAGAAAGUCAUUGAUGAGGAACUUUCGGAGAUUACAAAAUCUUUUAGCGUAGGUAGGGACCCAGAUCCGGACGGAAUCUGGGAAUGUGUCGGAAUCAAAAUGUGUGUGAGUGCUUUGUGAUAUUGCUAACCCGUUUUCGUAGACGUCGCAAAUAUCGUCGAAAUAUUGUGUGCAAAAGCCUCGUGUAACUCGUUCCAAGCAUAGUUUGCUGCAUCUUAUACGUUUUUUGUGUGAUAACUUACGAAUUUGUCACAUUGCCAUAGAACAUGGGACAACUAUGCUGCACACGGCAGCCCUGUACAGAUUCACUAUACAAAUAUUCAUGUUUAUUUGGUAAACUGAUGAAAUAUUU